AGAGUUGAUCAGUGGCUCAGAACGAACGCUGGCGGCAUGCCUAACACAUGCAAGUCGAACGAAGCCUUCGGGCUUAGUGGCGCACGGGUGCGUAACGCGUGGGAAUCUGCCCUUGGGUUCGGAAUAACAGUUAGAAAUGACUGCUAAUACCGAAUGAUGUCUUCGGACCAAAGAUUUAUCGCCCAAGGAUGAGCCCGCGUCGGAUUAGCUAGUUGGUGAGGUAAAGGCUCACCAAGGCGACGAUCCGUAGCUGGUCUGAGAGGAUGAUCAGCCACACUGGGACUGAGACACGGCCCAGACUCCUACGGGAGGCAGCAGUGGGGAAUAUUGGACAAUGGGCGAAAGCCUGAUCCAGCAAUGCCGCGUGAGUGAUGAAGGCCUUAGGGUUGUAAAGCUCUUUUACCCGGGAUGAUAAUGACAGUACCGGGAGAAUAAGCCCCGGCUAACUCCGUG
rnacentral:rRNA from 1 species